GACGAACGCUGGCGGCGUGCUUAACACAUGCAAGUCGAACGGAAAGGCCCUGCUUUUGUGGGGUGCUCGAGUGGCGAACGGGUGAGUAACACGUGAGUAACCUGCCCUUGACUUUGGGAUAACUUCAGGGAACUGGGGCUAAUCCCGGAUAGGAGCUCCUGCUGCAUGGUGGGGGUUGGAAAGUUUCGGCGGUUGGGGAUGGACUCGCGGCUUCUCAGCUUGUUGGUGGGGUAGUGGCUUACCAAGGCUUUGACGGGUAGCCGGCCUGAGGGGGUGACCGGCCACAUUGGGACUGAGAUACGGCCCAGACUCCUACGGGAGGCAGCAGUGGGGAAUAUUGCACAAUGGGCGGAAGCCUGAUGCAGCAACGCCGCGUGCGGGAUGACGGCCUUCGGGUUGUAAACCGCUUUCGCCUGUGACGAAGCGUGAGUGACGGUAAUGGGUAAAGAAGCACCGGCUAACUACGUG
rnacentral:rRNA from 1 species